AACGCACAUUGCGCCCUGUGGUAUUCCGCAGGGCAUGCCUGUUCGAGCGUCAUUUCAACCCUCAAGCCCUGCUUGGUGUUGGGCCACGCCCUCGCGGCCGGCCCCAAAGCCAGUGGCGGCGCCGUCCGGCUCUAAGCGUAGUACAUCUCUCGCUCUAGGGCCCGGCGGCGGCCGGCCAGAACCCCAAACUCUUAUGGUUGACCUCGGAUCAGGUAGGGAUACCCGCUGAACUUAA
rnacentral:misc_RNA from 1 species